rnacentral:rRNA from 1 species
GCAAGCUGAACAGUUUUAGUGGCGGACGGGUGAGUAACGCGUAAGAAUCUGCCCCUGGGAGAGGGAUACCAAUUGGAAACGGUUGUUAAUACCUCAUGUGCUGAGGAGUGAAAAGGUUUACACCGCCUAGGGAUGAGCUUGCGUCUGAUUAGCUAGUUGGUGGGGUAAUGGCCUACCGAGGCAAUGAUCAGUAGCUGGUUUGAGAGGACGAUCAGCCACACUGGGACUGAGACACGGCCCAG